rnacentral:lncRNA from 1 species
GACUCUAGAUUCCUGGUAUAUUCGAGUAUUACCAUCUCUGUUCCUGUUGAGGCGUUUGGGCCCGGUAAGAGAUAUGUUUGGUGGACGAAAUUUAGUGUAAAGUGGGGUUUACGGUCAUGUUUGUUCUUUAAAUGUUGAUGGAGAGUCAACAGGGUUGGAUCAAGUACUGCAACGGAGAUUUGGCUUUUGAUAGCCAUCUGUAUCCUUUCUAUUUGAGAUGUUUAUUCAUUUCCUUAUCUGGUAUGUAUAUUUGACUGAUUAGAAGUAAAGCUCCAUGAUUCUUGACUGCUUGUAUUUUUGGUACUUCAUUGGGCGAAAGCUCACCCCCGUUAUCUUUGUUUUCCUUACAGGGAUCAAACUUUGAAACUGUGAUUUUGGAAGAAAGAGUAGAGCUAGUUAUAGUCAUUCUUUUGAUUAAGCUCCUCUGUAACCAAAACCCUAAUUGUAUUUUGUAUAAGUACGGAUAUUAUAGCUUGUACUUCAAGUUAAUUUGUUGAAGACUCCAAUGUAUAUGUAUAAGUGUUUAUCAUGUAUCUUAAGUGUGCUUGUUUGA